rnacentral:rRNA from 1 species
AGCGAAUAGAUACCCUGGUAGUCCCAGCCGUAAACGAUGCUCGCUAGGUGUCAGGCAUGGCGCGACCGUGUCUGGUGCCGCAGGGAAGCCGUGAAGCGAGCCACCUGGGAAGUACGGCCGCAAGGCUGAAACUUAAAGGAAUUGGCGGGGAGCACAACAACGGGUGGAGCCUGCGGUUUAAUUGGACUCAACGCCGGACAACUCACCGGGGGCGGACAGCAAUAUGUAGGCCAGGCUGAAGACCUUGCCUGAAUCGCUGAGAGGAGGUGCAUGGCCGUCGCCAGUUCGUACUGUGAAGCAUCCUGUUAAGUUCAGGCAACGAGCGAGACCCGUGCCCACUGUUACCAGCAUAUUCUCCGGAAUGAUGGGUACUCUGUGGGGACCGCCGAUGUUAAAUCGGAGGAAGGUGCGGGCCACGGUAGGUCAGUAUGCCCCGGAAUCUCCCGGGGCUACACGCGGGCUACAAUGGAUGGGACAAUGGGUCCCUACCCCGAAAGGGGUCUGGUAAUCUCACAAACCCCAUUCGUAGUUCGGAUCGAGGGCU